CCUACGGGUGGCAGCAGUGAGGAAUAUUGGUCAAUGGACGAGAGUCUGAACCAGCCAAGUAGCGUGAAGGAUGACUGUCCUAUGGGUUGUAAACUUCUUUUAUAUGGGAAUAAAACGUUCCACGUGUGGGAUUUUGUAUGUACCAUAUGAAUAAGGAUCGGCUAACUACGUGCCAGCAGCCGCGGUAAUACGGAGGAUCCGAGCGUUAUCCGGAUUUAUUGGGUUUAAAGGGAGCGUAGGUGGAUUGGUAAGUCAGUUGUGAAAGUUUGCGGCUCAACCGUAAAAUUGCAGUUGAAACUGGCAGUCUUGAGUACAGUAGAGGUGGGCGGAAUUCGUGGUGUAGCGGUGAAAUGCUUAGAUAUCACGAAGAACUCCGAUUGCGAAGGCAGUUCACUGGACUGCAACUGACACUGAGGCUCGAAAGUGUGGGUAUCAAACAGGAUUAGAUACCCUGGUAGUC
rnacentral:rRNA from 1 species